AGGACGAACGCUGGCGGCGUGCUUAACACAUGCAAGUCGAGCGGUAAGGCCCUUCGGGGUACACGAGCGGCGAACGGGUGAGUAACACGUGGGUGACCUGCCCUCCACUCUGGGAUAAGCCUUGGAAACGGGGUCUAAUACCGGAUAUGACCACAUGUCGCAUGGUGUGUGGUGGAAAGCGUUUAGUGGUGGGGGAUGGGCCCGCGGCCUAUCAGCUUGUUGGUGGGUGAUGGCCUACCAAGGCGACGACGGGUA
rnacentral:rRNA from 1 species